rnacentral:rRNA from 1 species
UACGUAGGGCGCAAGCGUUGUCCGGAAUUAUUGGGCGUAAAGAGCUCGUAGGUGGCUUGUUGCGUCUGCCGUGAAAGCCCGUGGCUUAACUACGGGUCUGCGGUGGAUACGGGCAGGCUAGAGGCUGGUAGGGGCAAGCGGAAUUCCUGGUGUAGCGGUGAAAUGCGCAGAUAUCAGGAGGAACACCGAUGGCGAAGGCAGCUCGCUGGGACGGUACUGACGCUGAGACGCGAAAGCGUGGGGAGCAAACAGG